rnacentral:rRNA from 1 species
GGGUAGUUUGACUGGGGCGGUCUCCUCCUAAAGAGUAACGGAGGAGCACGAAGGUUGGCUAAUCCUGGUCGGACAUCAGGAGGUUAGUGCAAUGGCAUAAGCCAGCUUGACUGCGAGCGUGACGGCGCGAGCAGGUGCGAAAGCAGGUCAUAGUGAUCCGGUGGUUCUGAAUGGAAGGGCCAUCGCUCAACGGAUAAAAGGUACUCCGGGGAUAACAGGCUGAUACCGCCCAAGAGUUCAUAUCGACGGCGGUGUUUGGCACCUCGAUGUCGGCUCAUCACAUCCUGGGGCUGAAGUAGGUCCCAAGGGUAUGGCUGUUCGCCAUUUAAAGUGGUACGCGAGCUGGGUUUAGAACGUCGUGAGACAGUUCGGUCCCUAUCUGCCGUGGGCGCUGGAGAACUGAGGGGGGCUGCUCCUAGUACGAGAGGACCGGAGUGGACGCAUCACUGGUGUUCGGGUUGUCAUGCCAAUGGCACUGCCCGGUAGCUAAAUGCGGAAGAGAUAAGUGCUGAAAG